CCCUUCGACCAUACCACCCUGAAUACGCCCGAUCUCGGACGCUAAGCAGGUUCGGGCCUAGCUAGUACCUGGACAGGAGACACCAGGUGUUGUAGGCU
rnacentral:rRNA from 1 species